GCCUCCGUGGCGCAAUCGGCCUAAGCGCGUUCGGCUGUUAACCGAAGGUUGGUUCCGACCCACCCGGGGCA